rnacentral:rRNA from 1 species
UACGGGGGGAGCAAGCGUUGUUCGGAUUUACUGGGCGUAAAGGGCGCGUAGGCGGUCAGCACAAGUCAGUUGUGAAAUCUCCGGGCUUAACUCGGAAAGGUCAACUGAUACUGUGCGACUAGAGUGCAGAAGGGGCAACUGGAAUUCUCGGUGUAGCGGUGAAAUGCGUAGAUAUCGAGAGGAACACCUGCGGCGAAGGCGGAUCUCUGGGCCAUUACUGACGCUGAGGAGCGAAAGCGUGGGGAGCGAACAGG